rnacentral:rRNA from 1 species
CGCGCAGGCGGUUUGUCAAGUCCCGUGUGAAAUCCCCCGGCUCAACUGGGGAACUGCGCGGGAAACUAGCGAGCUUGAGUUCGGGAGAGGGAAGCGGAAUUCCGGGUGUAGCGGUGAAAUGCGCAGAUAUCCGGAGGAACACCAGUGGCGAAGGCGGUUUCCUGGACCGACACUGACGCUGAGGCGCGAAAGCUAGGGGAGCGAACG